UCCGGUUGAUCCUGCCGGCGGCCACUGCUAUCAGGUUUCGACUAAGCCAUGCGAGUUAUAGGGUCGUAAGACACUGGCGAACCGCUCAGUAACACGCGGAUAAUCUGCCCCCAGGUGAAGCAUAACCUCGGGAAACUGAGGCUAAUUCUUCAUAACCAUCAUCUGCUGGAAUGCUUUGAUGGUAAAAGCUCCGGCGCCUGAGGAUGAGUCUGCGGCCUAUCAGGUAGUAUGUGGUGUAAAGGACCACAUAGCCGAGGACGGGUACGGGCCCUGAGAGGGGGAGCCCGGAGAUGGACUCUGAGACACUAGUCCAGGCCCUACGGGGCGCAGCAGGCGCGAAAACUGUGCAAUGCGCGAAAGCGCGACACGGGAAACCUGAGUGCCUUGACAAUGUCAAGGCUUUUCUUAAGCCUAAAAAGCUUAAGGAAUAAGAGCUGGGUAAGACGGGUGCCAGCCGCCGCGGUAACACCCGCAGCUCGAGUGGUGGUCACUUUUAUUGAGCCUAAAGCGUUCGUAGCCGGUCCCGUAAAUCUUCAGAAAAAUUCUUCCGCUUAACGGAAGAUCCUCUGAAGAGACUGCGGGACUAGGGACCGGGUGGGGUUGGAAGUACUUCUGGAGUAGGGGUAAAAUCCUGUAAUCCUGGAAGGACAACCGGUGGCGAAGGCGUCCAACUAGAACGGAUCCGACGGUGAGGAACGAGGGCUAGGGGAGCAAACCGGAUUAGAUACCCGGGUAGUCCUAGCUGUAAACACUGCCCACUUGGUGUUGCCCCUUCGUUGAGAGGAGGCAGUGCCGGAGCGAAGGUGUUAAGUGGGCCGCUUGGGGAGUAUGGUCGCAAGGCUGAAACUUAAAGGAAUUGGCGGGGGAGCACA
rnacentral:rRNA from 1 species